CCUUGACAUACUAAGAACUUUCCAGAGAUGGAUUGGUGGCCUUCGGGAACUUAGAUACAGGUGCUGCAUGGCUGUCGUCAGCUCGUGUCGUGAGAUGUUGGGUUAAGUCCCGCAACGAGCGCAACCCUUUUCCUUAUUUGCCAGCGGGUCAUGCCGGGAACUUUAAGGAUACUGCCAGUGACAAACUGGAGGAAGGCGGGGACGACGUCAAGUCAUCAUGGCCCUUACGGCCAGGGCUACACACGUGCUACAAUGGUCGGUACAAAGGGUUGCUACCUCGCGAGAGGAUGCUAAUCUCAAAAAGCCGAUCGUAGUCCGGAUCGCAGUCUGCAACUCGACUGCGUGAAGUCGGAAUCGCUAGUAAUCGCGGAUCAGAAUGCCGCGGUGAAUACGUUCCCGGGCCUUGUACACACCGCCCGUCACACCAUGGGAGUUUGUUGCACCAGAAGUAGGUAGUCUAACCGCAAGGAGGACGCUUACCACGGUGUGGCCGAUGACUGGGGUGAAGUCGUAACAAGGUAAGCGUAGAUGA
rnacentral:rRNA from 1 species